rnacentral:rRNA from 1 species
UGAGGAAUUUUGCGCAAUGGGGGCAACCCUGACGCAGCAACGCCGCGUGAGUGAAGAAGGCCUUUGGGUCGUAAAGCUCUGUCAACAGGGAAGAAGUUACAGCUGUUUAACAGAUGGUUGUAUUGACGGUACCUGUGGAGGAAGCGCCGGCUAACUCCGUGCCAGCAGCCGCGGUAACACGGGGGGCGCAAGCGUUAUUCGGAAUUAUUGGGCGUAAAGGGCGCGCAGGCGGUCUUGUCCGUCAGGUGUGAAAGCUCGGGGCUCAACCCCGGAAGUGCACUUGAAACAGCAAGACUUGAAUACGGGAGAGGAAAGCGGAAUUCCUGGUGUAGAGGUGAAAUUCGUAGAUAUCAGGAGGAACACCGAUGGCGAAGGCAGCUUUCUGGACCGAUAUUGACGCUGAGGCGCGAAGGCGUGGGUAGCAAACGGGAUUAGAUACCCCGGUAGUCCACGCAGUAAACGUUGUACACUCGGUGUAGCGGGUAUUAAAACCUGCUGUGCCCAAGCUAACGCAUUAAGUGUACCGCCUGGGAAGUACGGUCGCAAGACUA